UGCUGCUCCGUCACACACACACCUGCUGCUCCGUCACACCCUGAUUUUCCUUAUCUUUGUUUGUUGUUGUUCGCGACAGACCGGGGUUAUGGAUGGAAAGGACAUUUUCCUAUCGUUAAAGGACAUUACAUUUCUCUGCGACAGACCCUGGCGUGAGAGAAAAGACAGCUUCCCCUUUCGUUAAAGGAUAAAGGGUCCGGUUAGCCCUGACCAUUAUCCGUUUCCAAUUCACCAUCGCAAAGACGCUUGCCCGAUCCAUCAUAACUCCGUUGGAACCAACAUGCACCACCUCCAGCAGGAAGAGAGGCAAGAACCAUUCGUCUCCCAGCUCAGGGACCAGCUACACUAUUCACAGCCCUGUGUAAUGUUCAAUGUAAGAGAGGCAAGAACCAUUCGUCUC